AGAGUUUGAUCAUGGCUCAGAUUGAACGCUGGCGGCAGGCCUAACACAUGCAAGUCGAGCGGUAGCACAGAGAGCUUGCUCUCGGGUGACGAGCGGCGGACGGGUGAGUAAUGUCUGGGAAACUGCCUGAUGGAGGGGGAUAACUACUGGAAACGGUAGCUAAUACCGCAUAACGUCGCAAGACCAAAGUGGGGGACCUUCGGGCCUCAUGCCAUCAGAUGUGCCCAGAUGGGAUUAGCUAGUAGGUGGGGUAACGGCUCACCUAGGCGACGAUCCCUAGCUGGUCUGAGAGGAUGACCAGCCACACUGGAACUGAGACACGGUCCAGACUCCUACGGGAGGCAGCAGUGGGGAAUAUUGCACAAUGGGCGCAAGCCUGAUGCAGCCAUGCCGCGUGUGUGAAGAAGGCCUUCGGGUUGUAAAGCACUUUCAGCGGGGAGGAAGGCGGUGAGGUUAAUAACCUCAUCGAUUGACGUUACCCGCAGAAGAAGCACCGGCUAACUCCGUGCCAGCAGCCGCGGUAAUACGGAGGGUGCAAGCGUUAAUCGGAAUUACUGGGCGUAAAGCGCACGCAGGCGGUCUGUCAAGUCGGAUGUGAAAUCCCCGGGCUCAACCUGGGAACUGCAUUCGAAACUGGCAGGCUAGAGUCUUGUAGAGGGGGGUAGAAUUCCAGGUGUAGCGGUGAAAUGCGUAGAGAUCUGGAGGAAUACCGGUGGCGAAGGCGGCCCCCUGGACAAAGACUGACGCUCAGGUGCGAAAGCGUGGGGAGCAAACAGGAUUAGAUACCCUGGUAGUCCACGCCGUAAACGAUGUCGAUUUGGAGGUUGUGCCCUUGAGGCGUGGCUUCCGGAGCUAACGCGUUAAAUCGACCGCCUGGGGAGUACGGCCGCAAGGUUAAAACUCAAAUGAAUUGACGGGGGCCCGCACAAGCGGUGGAGCAUGUGGUUUAAUUCGAUGCAACGCGAAGAACCUUACCUGGUCUUGACAUCCACAGAACUUUCCAGAGAUGGAUUGGUGCCUUCGGGAACUGUGAGACAGGUGCUGCAUGGCUGUCGUCAGCUCGUGUUGUGAAAUGUUGGGUUAAGUCCCGCAACGAGCGCAACCCUUAUCCUUUGUUGCCAGCGGUNGGCCGGGAACUCAAAGGAGACUGCCAGUGAUAAACUGGAGGAAGGUGGGGAUGACGUCAAGUCAUCAUGGCCCUUACGACCAGGGCUACACACGUGCUACAAUGGCAUAUACAAAGAGAAGCGACCUCGCGAGAGCAAGCGGACCUCAUAAAGUAUGUCGUAGUCCGGAUUGGAGUCUGCAACUCGACUCCAUGAAGUCGGAAUCGCUAGUAAUCGUAGAUCAGAAUGCUACGGUGAAUACGUUCCCGGGCCUUGUACACACCGCCCGUCACACCAUGGGAGUGGGUUGCAAAAGAAGUAGGUAGCUUAACCUUCGGGAGGGCGCUUACCACUUUGUGAUUCAUGACUGGGGUGAAGUCGUAACAAGGUAACCGUAGGGGAACCUGCGGUUGGAUCACCU
rnacentral:rRNA from 1 species